CAAGGUAUAGCGUAAUUGGCUAACGCACCAGUUUUGGAAAUUGGCGAUUAUAAGUUCGAAUCUUAUUACCUUGU
rnacentral:tRNA from 1 species